AGGAGGAGCGAUGGGCGUGAUGGGGAGGCUCAGGGUCUUCGUGGCGCAGGAGCCGGUCGUCGCCGCCUCCUGUCUCAUCGCCGGCUUCGAUGGUUGCUGGUGUUGACAAGAAAUAAAGAGUUCAAAUUUCUCGUGUUGGGCAUGUAAUCUGGAACUAUUUUCUUUCUAAGUACUUAUGUUACUUGUUUCAACAACAAUAUGAUAUGCUCUCUCGCACAUACAUCACGUGCGUUUGGUGCUCAUCACAAUCCAAAAGGUAGAGAAUAGAGCAUCUUUGUAGAUUUGUCAAAAUAAUGACUGCAGGUGAAGUUCGAUUUUCUACCCGCUGCAUGCAUGUGGUCCGAGAGAAGUGACUGAUUUACGUUUUGUUGUAUGUGGUUUGUGGAACACCAGUUGCUACCUCAAUACCUUUUAAUUCUC